rnacentral:rRNA from 1 species
AAGACCUUGCGCUUUUAGAGCGGCCGAUGCCUGAUUAGCUUGUUGGUAAGGUGAAAGCUUACCAAGGCUUCGAUCAGUAGCUGGUCUGAGAGGACGACCAGCCACACUGGGACUGAGACACGGCCCAGACUCCUACGGGAGGCAGCAGUGGGGAAUUUUGGACAAUGGGGGCAACCCUGAUCCAGCCGUGCCGCGUGAGUGAAGAAGGCCUUCGGGUUGUAAAGCUCUUUCAGCCGGAACGAAACGGUUACGGUUAAUACCCGUGACUAAUGACGGUACCGGAAGAAGAAGCACCGGCUAACUACGUGCCAGCAGCCGCGGUAAUACGUAGGGUGCGAGCGUUAAUCGGAAUUACUGGGCGUAAAGCGUGCGCAGGUGGUUUUGUAAGUCAGAUGUGAAAGCCCCGGGCUCAACCUGGGAACU